rnacentral:rRNA from 1 species
AGAGUUUGAUCCUGGCUCAGGAUGAACGCUGGCGGCGUGCCUAACACAUGCAAGUCGAGCGAUUUACUUCGGUAAAGAGCGGCGGACGGGUGAGUAACGCGUGGGUAACCUGCCCUAUACACACGGAUAACAUACCGAAAGGUAUGCUAAUACGAGAUAAUAUAAGAGAUUCACAUGGAUUUCUUAUCAAAGCUGAGGCGGUAUAGGAUGGACCCGCGUCUGAUUAGCUAGUUGGUAAGGUAACGGCUUACCAAGGCGACGAUCAGUAGCCGACCUGAGAGGGUGAUCGGCCACAUUGGAACUGAGACACGGUCCAAACUCCUACGGGAGGCAGCAGUGGGGAAUAUUGCACAAUGGGCGAAAGCCUGAUGCAGCAACGCCGCGUGAGUGAUGAAGGCCUUCGGGUCGUAAAACUCUGUCCUCAAGGAAGAUAAUGACGGUACUUGAGGAGGAAGCCCCGGCUAACUACGUGCCAGCAGCCGCGGUAAUACGUAGGGGGCUAGCGUUAUCCGGAUUUACUGGGCGUAAAGGGUGCGUAGGUGGUCUCUUAAGUCAGGAGUGAAAGGCUACGGCUUAACCGUAGUAAGCUCUUGAAACUGGGAGACUUGAGUGCAGGAGAGGAAAGUGGAAUUCCUAGUGUAGCGGUGAAAUGCGUAGAUAUUAGGAGGAACACCAGUAGCGAAGGCGGCUUUCUGGACUGUAACUGACACUGAGGCACGAAAGCGUGGGGAGCAAACAGGAUUAGAUACCCUGAUAGUCCACGCCGUAACGAUGAGUACUAGGUGUCGGGGGUUACCCCCUCGGUGCCGCAGCUAACGCAUUAAGUACUCCGCCUGGGGAGUACGCUCGCAGAGUGAAACUCAAAGGAAUUGACGG